rnacentral:lncRNA from 1 species
AGGGUUAAUCUUAAUACGAAUAUUUUUCUUUAAUAUAUUUAAGCAAUGUGUUAAACUGUGUGUUGGAUAAAAACAAAAUCAAAAUGCUUCUUGAUGCAUAUAUAAGAGAGAUUUAAAUAUAUAGACAAAUAGGGGGAAUGGUUUUAAAUACUGGCAAGUUAUGUGUUAGGAGCAAUUGUUCUGCAACACAACUUUUUGAACAGGUUUUAUGUACUUUGUGAAUAAAACUUUGAGCUGACAGUCUUUCUGUCUAUAAAUGCAGUCCCAACAUUCUAUCCAAAUUUUACUGUAUUUUUGAGGUAAAAUCAUUCUAUUAGAAUCCAUAAUAUACACACAAUAUCUAGGAAGACAAUGACAGAAGUAAAAUAAUUUUGAAGGAGGAACUGGACUUUGGCAUCCUGGGCUUGACCAUGGCUGCUCAUGAGCCCCCCUGAUCUUGGUCAUCCAUUUAAACUUCAUUAAACUUCAGUUUCCUCUUGCAAAAUGAUUGUAAAGGAGCUUGAUUUCAAGAUCAGAUUUGUGUUUUUAAAGAUACAUGUGUUUGGCGUUAUUGUGAAAGAUACAAGAAAGAGUGUAAGACUACAGUAGUCCAAGUAUUCAUGAUUAGGACUUAAAUAAUAACAGGUCGGAUGGAAUGGAGCAGAGAGCAGAAGAAGAGUUUUAACAAUGGGAAGAAAUAGAAGUGAGAAAUUUUAAGUAUUCCAUCCAUUUUUUUUUUCACUUUUGAAGCAUUCUGGAAGACUUUUGAAGCACUUUUAUAAAUAUUGUAUUAGGAUAUGUUUUUUAAUGUAAGAGAUUUCUGUUGCAGUUUUUUUCCCUUCUUUCUCUAUUUCAUUCUCUUCAUUGAGCCAAGCAUUUCCAUGGAACCUGGUUCCUUGAUACUUAAUCACUUGGAAAAGGGAAUUUGAGAAGAUUAGCACAAAAGCAUAAGAAAUGCCUAUGCUUUCUUUCCUAACAUACUUAAUGCUCAGGUUUCUGGAUAAUCUGGCUUAACCUUUGGACAAUUUCUUGUGCAAAAUAAUGGUUUUGGGCCUUACUCUGCAGCAACUUGACACAGGUUAUGAUUGAUUUAAGAUCCUCCAUUUAUUGAGUAAUGCCAAUUUACCUGGAGUAUCACUAGGAUAUUCUACACACACACACACACACACACGUUUAAUAGACUUAUACGUCUUAGCAAAUGAAAGUCAUAGUUCAUGAUAUUUGGAAAGUGAAGAAUAAUUUUUGUGAAUAAUUCUGUUAGAGUUUCAAAAGCAUCUAUUUUCAAUAAUACAUUCAGCUUCAGACAUAAUAAUCCAUAUUAUCCUUACAUGUAUAUAAUGAGAUGUUCUUAUUAUUCUUAUAUGAAAUUAAUAGAUCUUGAAAUUAGAGUCUUUAAAAUUGUCAACUCAAAUUUUUCACCCCUUACAAUGAUUUCUUCUACAUUAAACUUAUACAUUUAUACAGCUGGUUGUCUAGAUUUUUAAUAUAAUACAAAGCUCUUUAUCUUUAUAAAGCAACUAAUUUUAAUGUGGAGAUGCUAUGAUUACUAAAAAACAGUUCUUACUUUAAGUUGAAAUGUGCCUUUUUGUAAUUUAGUUUCCUGUUAUUUUAAGAGCAAUUCUUUUUUGCCACCUGAAGAAACACUAUUGAUAGCCAAAUUUAGAUAUCACAAUGUAUUUUUUAAUUCUAGCCCUUUCCAGAAUUCUUAAGACUCUAGAUGUGCCUUCUUAAUUUUUCCCCAGGAUGUCCUCUUCAUGCUCCAAAACAUUUCUGAGGAAUCUUCCACCUGCACUGAGAUUUUUUGAGUCCAGAGAUUAUUUCUUAUUCAUUGGUGUAUUUCUAAUGCCUAACCAAGUAGUUGGAAUCUAAUAGGCCUGAAAUUCAGAGAUUAUUUCUUAUUCAUUGGUGUAUUUCUAAUACCUAACCAAGUAGUUAGAAUCUAAUAGGCCUGAAACAGCUAUUUAUUGAAUACAUAAGCACUUAUUAUUCAACGUUUAUUAUUUCCUAUAUGCAAAUAAAGAAUUCAGGUAAAAUUAUGAAAUUAUCUCCAUUCUCAAAUAAUUUUAAAACAAAACUUUGAGGACUAAGAUGGUGCCAUGGAAAAGAUUGAAACAAAAUCCAACUAGACUUCAGAGCAUGAAGAUAUUAUGCCCAGUAUAUUCUGGGGGGAAAGCUUUACAAUUUUCUUCUUUGCAUCGUUCUUACAGAAGGUUAUGAUUUCACAUAUGAAAACAGGGUGAGGGAAAGCAUCCCAGGUAGAUACAUUGUCAGGAAAAGAUCUCUCAUUGGAGGUAACAGUGACUUCAUACAUGAUUCCUUAGGCAUUGGCCAUUAAAAUGUUUUGAGUGAGAGUGCUCCGUGACAGCUGUGUGCCAUGAAGAAGUAGAGGAAAAGGUGUUCCUUAAGGACCAAUGGAUGAGAUAAAGCAGCAGCAUUUAAGCCCAACACUCGUAUAGUCAAAUCCUAGAACCUCUGCCCUCAUCCUAAUUAUUACUGCAUCUUUAGGGUGUAUAAAGUCAGAAAGCUUGUUAUGAAGGGAAAACACAUUUCCUUCCACAUUUAGUUUCCAUUUUCUUAAGGAUAAUUGAAUUGUAAUAACAAUGAUUCACAUAGGAUUCCAGAAAAGCUAUAAAUUGAUGAUUUAGUACAUAUCACUUGCUACACAAAUGAUGUGAGGUGGGGAAUGAGGCAGGUCAGUUGGGAGAAAUGCCACUUCAGAAGUGCUCUCCUGGAUUAAAAUGUGCAUUUUAGACUUUGACUUCUCUGGAUUCUUUGCUGAAAUAUAAGAUUUUCUUUUUUUUUUUUUUAACUUUUAUUUUAGGUUCAGGGGUAUAUGUGCAGGUUUGUUAUGUAAGUAAAUUUUAUAUCAUGGGAAUUCAGUAUACAAAUUAUUUUCUCAUCCAGUUACUAAGCAUAGUACCUGAUAGGUAGUUUUUCUAUUUUCUUCCUCCACCCUCCACCCUCAAGUAGGCCCUGGUGCCUGUUGUCACCACCUUUGUGUCCCUUUGUACUCAGUGUUUAGCUUGCACUUAUAAGUGAGAACAUGUGGUAUUUGGUUUUCUGUUCCAGUGUUAGUUUUCUUAGGAUUAUGGCCUCCAGCUCUAUUCAUGUUGCUGCAAAGGGCAUAAUCUUGUUCUUUUUAAUGGCUGCAUAGUAUUCCAUGGUGUAUAUGUAUCACAUUUUGUUUAUCCAGUUUAUCCUGUUGAUGGGCACUUGGGUUGAUUCCAUGUCUUUGCUAUUGUGAAUAGUACCACAAUGAACAUAUGCAUGCAUGUUUCUUUAUGGCAGAACAAUUUCUAUUCCUUUGGGUAUAUAUCCAAUAAUGGAAUUGCUGGGUCCAGUGGUGUUUCUGUUUUAAGUUCUUUGUACAAAAGCAUAAGAAAUGCCUAUGCUUUCUUUCCUAACAUACUUAAUGCCACACUGAUUUCCACAAUAGCUGAACUAAUUUACAUUCCCACCAGCAGUGUAUAAGCAAUUCCUUUUCUCCAUAACCUCACUAGCAACUGUUGUUUUUUGAAUUUUUAAUAAAAGCCAUUCUGACUAGUGUGAGAAGGUAUCUCAUUGUGGUUUUAAGUUGCAUUUCUCAAAUGAUUAGAUCAUGUUGAGCAUUUUUUCAUAUACUUGUUGGCCACUUAUGUGUUUUCUUUAAAGAAGUGUCUAUUCAUGUCCUUUGCCCACUUUUUAGUGGUUUUGUUUUGUCUUGUUUUGUUUUUUUUUGCUUGUUAAUGACAUAUAAGAUUUUUUAAAGUUUCCUUCUAAGCUUGGAACAGAAGAUUGAAAGUAAGGACAUGAGAAGCACCGACACAAAUUUCCCCAUGUUUUGUACAAUUCUGUAAUUCCUGCUCUAACAAUACUGGUGAGCUGGGGGAAAAAAAAGGAAGAAGGAAAACCUUGUUUAGAUAUUUGCCAUUGCCUUCGAAUUGGUCUUUUUUAGAUUUUAUCCUCUUCCAGGCCUCCUUUUUUUCCUGGAAUUAUUUUUCUUAAAUACAAAUUUUAAUUCCCUGUUCCAUUCUUAUUGUCUAUAAGUCCAAGCUCUUAAUUAAACAUGGUUUACAAAGCCUUUUAGAGUUUGGCUUCUUCCUGUCUCUUUAACCUCAUCUCAUUCAGUGUCCCUUCUUGUCCCAGUCUUCAGGUGGAAGGAAAAUAUUAUUACUAUACCAUCCUGCCUUCAUGCAGGAGCUUUCCCCAUUUUAAGUUUGAUGAACUCCUGUUCUUCUGUCCAAAACCAGCCAAAGUGAUUGCUUGGGCAGUACAUUUACUAAAAUUAGAACAAAAGAGAGACAAUUAGCAUGGCCCCUGAGCAAGAAUGACGUGCAAAUUCAUGAAGUAUUCUAUAUUUUUAUUCCAUAUGUUUCCACUUUUAUGAGGGUACCUAGAGUAGUCAAAUUCUUGAGAUAAAUAUUAAAAUGGUGGCUGGCAAGGGCUGAGGGAGGGAGGAAUGGGGAGUUAUUGUAUAAUAGGCACAGAGAUUCAGAUUUGUAAGAUAAAAAGAGUUCUGUGGGGGUGGAUUAGUAGCAAAACAAUGUGAAUGUAUUUAAUGCCACUGAACAGUACAUUCAAAAAUGGUCAAGAUAAAUUUCAUGGUGUGCGUAUUUUACCACAAUUUUUAAAAACAGUCCAAGUUCCGUGGUCCCUUUCCUCUGAACCCAACCUCAGAGGGAGUUAAGCACUUCCAUUAUUUAAUCAGUAGACUGAAAUAGCUGCACCCUAAGUGAUUGUUAAGGACUAUAACCUUGAACUCACUGUUGCUUGACACUCAUCAAAUGCUUGGUUGGGCAACAUAAAUUUGCAAAGGAUUGCCUGAGUGAUAUAUAGUCCAUGUGUUCCUAUAGAUACAAAAAAAAAAAAAAUCCUAAGAAUAAGCUUCACAAGCAGAAAUUUACACACCUGGACCAUAUGGUCUGCCCUCUUGUAAAACUGCUUUUAUUGUAUAUAAUUUGGCAUUAUGUCAUCAUUGGUCCAUGCUAGCAGCCACUAUAAGAAAUAGCCCUAUGAAGUCGAUUUAAUAUAUGGAUGUUGUUGAGGAUGGCACGUUGUUCAUUUUUUGAUCACCUACAGGAAAAAUUUUCAUAUCAGCACUAGGAAUAAGUUUAUUUUCUUUUUCUUUGGAGAUAAUAUAAAUGGUGUAAUUGAUUAUGUUCUGAUUUUUCUUACCUUCCAAAAAGCUUAGAGGCCAAAUGCUUAUUCUGGCAUUUUUC